UAUGGGGGCACAGAAGGGUCAUUG
rnacentral:miRNA from 1 species